ACGGUUGGCCCAUCUCCGACUGCACCGCAGAAGGACUGAAAGCUUCUCUUUUGCUAUCCAAAGUUCCCAAGGAGAUUGUUGGUGAACCAGUAGAUGCAAAACGGUUAUAUGAUGCUGUUAAUGUUAUCAUUUCGUUACAGAAUCCAGAUGGAGGCCUCGCAACAUAUGAGCUCACCAGAUCAUACCCUUGGUUGGAGCUAAUCAACCCAGCAGAAACCUUUGGCGAUAUUGUUAUUGAUUAUCCUUACGUGGAAUGUACGUCAGCUGCCAUCCAAGCUUUGAUAUCAUUCCGAAAGCUGUAUCCUGGUCAUCGGAAGAAGGAAGUAGAUGAGUGCAUUGAGAAGGCAG